CUUGCUUGCUUACUUACUUACAGGUUGCCUCAGCUGACCUUUAAUUCACCACCGAGCCCACAUUGGUCUCAAACUUGCAGUAGAUCUGGUAGUGAUAAGCAAUCCCCAUGCCUCAGCCUCCUGGGUGCUAGUAUUAUAGGCAUGAACCACCAUAUACAGCUACAGUUCACUUCCAAGAAACCAAACCUAGGCAGACUUGCCCAGGGUACCUCUUCUAAUGAUAUUCUGAGUGGGGGCAAAAGUGUGUCUUUAUUUUGUAAAUGUGAUGAGUUACAAGGUGAGACACCACUACCCAGUCCCAGGGACAAAUGGAAGAAUCAACACAGCAGGGCAGCCACAAUACAAAGGCUGUCCUCACACCUCUUAGGCAUUCCACAGCAUCCCUUGGUGGGGUGGGGGAUACUGCACUGUUCAUUCUUGCAGUGUGUCAUGUAAAUACACACUUCACAUUUAAAGGCCAAAUGUGAAUCAAAUCAACAGCAGCAGAGCUCUGCUUUACCAUGUACACCCACGUUUAAGGAUCUUUUAAAACAAUUGGUAUGUUAGAGUCAAAGGCCUAUGUGUAUACCUUGGAAGUGUCUGCUCUUAGGAACACUGAGACAUGGUAUUUCCCUUUUGCCCUCACACAUGCCCAAUAAGUCUGCAUAGUCACCAUUAUAUUUACUCCCCUAGCGUGAAAGUAGAAUUCAUGAUCUGAUGGCUUCAAAGGACCUAGACUCUAUCUGGAGACAGGCAGACUCAGGCUUAGGCCACACUCACUAAUACCCAAUGAGAACAGGUUUACAGCAGAAAGCACAUCAGAGGCCAUCACAAAGGCUUUCCUGCCAUGAGUCUGGGUGAAUGAAACCAGGUCAUAAUUGCUAAAAGCCCCCAACACCCAGUCUGCACAUACCCAGGUCCCCAUUGCCUUCCUUCAGCUCUUCUGUUGCCAAACCUUUGCUUGAAUUAUUUUUAGUACCCACACUGCUCAAGAAAGCUUCAAAUGCCAAGUUUCUUUGCAAACUGAAAUGAUUCCAAACCUCAGCAAUCCUGUUUCACAAGAAACGUGUAAACACAGUCCCUCCUGGAGAACAGAGGCAUUCAUGGGAUCCGGUACCCCGCCAGGCUCAUCAGGGUCUCCUGCAGGAAACCCAGUUGCUCUGAGUUGCAAGCAGCCAUCCCCAAAGGUACCUGGUUUUGCUCUCCCUGCCACCUGGGGCAGUUAACCUUGCUGUUGAAUGGAUCACAGUCUUUGCUAAGGCACUUCUAGGAGAAGGAGUUGAAACCUUGUCAUAGAAAUGUUGUCUUCUCGGAUUUGGCUCUGGGGUAGAUAAAAAUCUCCCUCUGCUCUUUUGUCCAGUGUGGCAGGUGACAACAGACGCCAUCGGCUAUACUCAUGCUCCCUCCCUCCCCAAAGAAGCACGGUGCAUUUACCUUGCCCAGUACCCAUUAGAAAAAGCAUCACUUCCUGUAGGUGAGAGGGAAGUUGGUUGAAGGCCACCUAGCAUGCUGUCCUGGAGGCUCCAGGUUACUAGGGCCCCAACAAUCAAUACUUCAUACUCCUGCAUCUUCCUAUAUUGCUUUUGUUUUUGCCAUCUGCCACGGAGGGUGAGCAGAGUCAUGCCAUCCAUCACUGGAGGCAUCCAGAUAGGGCCAGUAGAUGACAUAGAGGUCUUCCACGGCAAGGAAAACAUCAAGUGUGCCCAUCAAGGCUAAGGCUAGGAUCCUCUGGGGAAAUGGACUUUCUAUCUUAAUGUUUCAAGAAAACCAAGAUUUCAGAAAAUAAAAGUUAUUUCUGACGACACUUGGUUGGUUUCUGCAGUGCUUCAGUUCCUCGAUAGCAGAUUCUUAGGAAAAUGAACAGAAACACUUGUGGAGUCAGUGCCCUUCCCGUCCGUGUGCAUGCCCACGAAUGCACACUACCUAGGGCGAAAGUUCAGCCCAAACAGCUGAACCCUGGGUACCAGACACAGGGAGCAGAAGGCCACUGUCUUGUGUCAUCGUGCUUUUAACUUUGCUAUUUUAAUUUAACCCACAGAACUAGGGCUCCAUUAUUCUUAAAUAAAAUAUCACUACUAGCUCUCCCGACGUGGCAACAUUGCCUUCCCUGUGACACACCUGCCGUCAGCUGUAAGCUGAUGAAAUAGGACUCAAGAGAUUUGAAUCUAAGGCCAGUGCUGCCUGCUCUGUUUACAAUGGCUUAUGUUUUGUGAAUAUAUAUCAAAUGCUGUAAUAUAUUUUUAUGAUAGAAUUGAUGGUUAACACAAGGGAAAUAUAUAUACAUAUAUAUAUAUAUAUAUAUAUUGUGAUUCUGUCUAAUAAAGAUUCCUGUUAUAAAAUC
rnacentral:lncRNA from 1 species